UCCGACUGUCUUCACAUCACCGGAAAUAGAACAAGCCACGAAAGUGAUGACGGAUCUUCAGAGCAGCCUGUUGCCUUUAUCGGACCGAGGCGGCAUGCACAUGGAGUAUGCAAGGGCUAGGAUGAGGAAGCACUAGGAAAAAGGGAAUGAAGUUGGCAAUUUACA